rnacentral:tRNA from 1 species
GUCUGGCUGGCUCAGUGAGAAGAGCAUGUGACUCUUGAUCUUGGGGUCAUGGGUUCUGACCCCAUGUUGGGUG